AUUGAACGCUGGCGGCAUGCUUUACACAUGCAAGUCGAACGGCAGCAUGCUCUUCGGAGUGAUGGCGAGUGGCGAACGGGUGAGUAAUAUAUCGGAACGUGCCCAGUCGUGGGGGAUAACGCAGCGAAAGCUGUGCUAAUACCGCAUACGAUCUAUGGAUGAAAGCGGGGGGAUCGCAAGACCUCGCGCGAUUGGAGCGGCCGAUAUCAGAUUAGCUAGUUGGUGGGUAAAGCCCACCAAGGCGACGAUCUGUAGCUGGUCUGAGAGGACGACCAGCCACACUGGAACUGAGACACGGUCCAGACUCCUACGGGAGGCAGCAGUGGGGAAUUUUGGACAAUGGGCGCAAGCCUGAUCCAGCAAUGCCGCGUGCAGGAUGAAGGCC
rnacentral:rRNA from 1 species